UAGGGAAUCUUCCGCAAUGGGCGAAAGCCUGACGGAGCAACGCCGCGUGAGUGAUGAAGGUCUUCGGAUCGUAAAACUCUGUUAUUAGGGAAGAACAAAUGUGUAAGUAACUAUGCACGUCUUGACGGUACCUAAUCAGAAAGCCACGGCUAACUACGUGCCAGCAGCCGCGGUAAUACGUAGGUGGCAAGCGUUAUCCGGAAUUAUUGGGCGUAAAGCGCGAGUAGGCGGUUUUUUAAGUCUGAUGUGAAAGCCCACGGCUCAACCGUGGAGGGUCAUUGGAAACUGGAAAACUUGAGUGCAGAAGAGGAAAGUGGAAUUCCAUGUGUAGCGGUGAAAUGCGCAGAGAUAUGGAGGAACACCAGUGGCGAAGGCGACUUUCUGGUCUGUAACUGACGCUGAUGUGCGAAAGCGUGGGGAUCAAACAGG
rnacentral:rRNA from 1 species